UACGAAGGGGGCUAGCGUUGCUCGGAAUCACUGGGCGUAAAGCGCACGUAGGCGGCUUACUAAGUCAGGGGUGAAAUCCUGGAGCUCAACUCCAGAACUGCCUUUGAUACUGGUGAGCUUGAGUCCGGAAGAGGUGAGUGGAACUGCGAGUGUAGAGGUGAAAUUCGUAGAUAUUCGCAAGAACACCAGUGGCGAAGGCGGCUCACUGGUCCGGUACUGACGCUGAGGUGCGAAAGCGUGGGGAGCAAAGCAGGAU
rnacentral:rRNA from 1 species